GGGAUUGCCCCAGUAACGGCGAGUGAAGCGGCAAGAGCUCAAAUUUUAAAUCUGGGGUCCCCCGACCCCCGAGUUGUAAUUUGGAGAGGCACCUUCGGGAGGAGCGCUGGCCCAUGUUCCUUGGAACAGGACGUCGCAGAGGGUGAGAAUCCCGUGCCAGGCCAGCCGCGCCCUUCCUUGUGAAGCGCCUUCGACGAGUCGAGUUGUUUGGGAAUGCAGCUCCAAGUGGGUGGUAAAUUUCAUCUAAAGCUAAAUACCGGCGAGAGACCGAUAGCGCACAAGUAGAGUGAUCGAAAGAUGAAAAGCACUUUGAAAAUAGAGUCAAAAAGUACGUGAAAUUGUUGAAAGGGAAGCGCUUGAGACCAGACUCGGAGCGAGGCAAACAUCUGGCCCCGCGGGGCCGUGCACUUGCCUCGAUCCGGGCCAGCAUCAGUUGGCGUGGCGGGAGAAAGGCGCGGGGAAUGUGGCUCCCCCCGGGGAGUGUUAUUAGCCCCGCGCUCAAUGCCGCCCUCGCCGACUGAGGACCGCGCUUCGGCUAGGAUGCUGGCUUAAUGGCCUUCAGCGACCCGUCUUGAAACACGGACCAAGGAGUCUAACAUCUAUGCGAGUGUUUGGGUGCCAAACCCUUUCGCGCAAUGAAAGUGAACGGAGGUGGGAACCCCUCGCCGGGCGCACCAUCGACCGAUCCUGAUGUCUUCGGAUGGAUUCGA
rnacentral:rRNA from 1 species